rnacentral:rRNA from 1 species
GCCGCGGUAAUACAGAGGGUGCAAGCGUUAAUCGGAAUUACUGGGCGUAAAGCGCACGUAGGCGGUUUUUUAAGUCAGAUGUGAAAGCCCCGGGCUCAACCUGGGAAUUGCAUUUGAAACUGGAAAACUAGAGUGUGUGAGAGGGGGGUAGAAUUCCAAGUGUAGCGGUGAAAUGCGUAGAGAUUUGGAGGAAUACCAGUGGCGAAGGCGGCCCCCUGGCACAACACUGACGCUCAGGUGCGAAAGCGUGGGGAGCAAACAGGAUUAGAUACCCUGGUAGUCCACGCCGUAAACGAUGUCUACUAGCUGUUCGUGACCUUGUGUCGUGAGUAGCGCAGCUAACGCACUAAGUAGACCGCCUGGGGAGUACGGUCGCAAGAUUAAAACUCAAAUGAAUUGACGGGGGCCCGCACAAGCGGUGGAGCAUGUGGUUUAAUUCGACGCAACGCGAAGAACCUUACCUACUCUUGACAUCCAGAGAAGACUGCAGAGAUGCGGUUGUGCCUUCGGGAACUCUGAGACAGGUGCUGCAUGGCUGUCGUCAGCUCGUGUUGUGAAAUGUUGGGUUAAGUCCCGCAACGAGCGCAACCCUUAUCCUUAGUUGCCAGCACGUAAUGGUGGGAACUCUAGGGAGACUGCCGGUGAUAAACCGGA